rnacentral:misc_RNA from 1 species
AUGUCGUAAAGGGCUACUACGCUCUCCACCAGUCCGACGGCAACGAAAGACAAGUACACUACCAUGGCGACAAGCACACCGGAUUCCACGCUGAUGUCAAAUACAACGUGCAUCACGUCGCUCCUAAACAUUACCAUUAUUGAGUAUUUGUUAGCCGCACAUUGUUGUCCAAGCAUCUUGGAUAUAUUGUUAAUAUUUGAUAUAUUUUUUUAUAUGAAUAAAAGCAAAUUAUUCUAAAAAAAU